AGUGAACGCUGGCGGUAGGCCUAACACAUGCAAGUCGAACGGCAGCACAGUAAGAGCUUGCUCUUACGGGUGGCGAGUGGCGGACGGGUGAGGAAUACAUCGGAAUCUACUUUUUCGUGGGGGAUAACGUAGGGAAACUUACGCUAAUACUGCAUACGACCUACGGGUGAAAGCAGGGGAUCUUCGGACCUUGCGCGAUUGAAUGAGCCGAUGUCGGAUUAGCUAGUUGGCGGGGUAAAGGCCCACCAAGGCGACGAUCCGUAGCUGGUCUGAGAGGAUGAUCAGCCACACUGGAACUGAGACACGGUCCAAACUCCUACGGGAGGCAGCAGUGGGGAAUAUUGGACAAUGGGCGCAAGCCUGAUCCAGCCAUACCGCGUGGGUGAAGAAGGCCUUCGGGUUGUAAAGCCCUUUUGUUGGGAAAGAAAAGCAGCAGGUUAAUACCCCGCUGUUCUGACGUUACCCAAAGAAUAAGCACCGGCUAACUUCGUG
rnacentral:rRNA from 1 species